CCUACGGGAGGCUGCAGUAGGGAAUAUUGGUCAAUGGGCGAGAGCCUGAACCAGCCAUGCCGCGUGCAGGAAGAAGGCGUUAUGCGUUGUAAACUGCUUUUAUAUAGGAAGAAAAAGGGGGGUGCGCCCCCAACUGACGGUACUAUAUGAAUAAGCACCGGCUAACUCCGUGCCAGCAGCCGCGGUAAUACGGAGGGUGCAAGCGUUGUCCGGAUUUAUUGGGUUUAAAAGGUGCGUAGGCGGGGAAUUAAGUCAGUGGUGAAAGCCCACAGCUCAACUGUGGAGGCGCCAUUGAUACUGGUUUUCUUGAGUGUAGUUGAGGCAGGCGGAAUUUACGAUGUAGCGGUGAAAUGCAUAGAUAUCGUAAAGAACACCUAUAGCGAAGGCAGCUUGCUAAGCUACAACUGACGCUGAGGCACGAAAGCAUGGGGAGCGAACAGGAUUAGAUACCCUUGUAGUC
rnacentral:rRNA from 1 species